UGCGUAGGCGGGUUUCUAAGUCAGAGGUGAAAGCCUGGAGCUCAACUCCAGAACUGCCUUUGAUACUGGAAGUCUUGAGUAUGGCGGAGGUGAGUGGAACUGCGAGUGUAGAGGUGAAAUUCGUAGAUAUUCGCAAGAACACCAGUGGCGAAGGCGGCUCACUGGGCCAUUACUGACGCUGAGGCACGAAAGCGUGGGGAGCAAACA
rnacentral:rRNA from 1 species